GGGGAAUUUUGCGCAAUGGGCGAAAGCCUGACGCAGCAACGCCGCGUGAGUGAUGAAGGUCUUCGGAUCGUAAAGCUCUUUCGGCUGGGACGAAAACGGUCUGGUGAAUGGCCAGGCCCUUGACGGUACCGGAAGAAGAAGCACCGGCUAACUCUGUGCCAGCAGCCGCGGUAAUACAGAGGGUGCAAGCGUUGUUCGGAAUUAUUGGGCGUAAAGCGCGUGUAGGCUGCGACGUAUGUCGGGUGUGAAAGCCCUCGGCUCAACUGAGGAAGUGCGCCCGAAACUACGUUGCUCGAGUGCUGGAGAGGGUAGCGGAAUUCCCGGUGUAGAGGUGAAAUUCGUAGAUAUCGGGAGGAACACCAGUGGCGAAGGCGGCUACCUGGACGGACACUGACGCUGAGACGCGAAAGCGUGGGUAGCAAAC
rnacentral:rRNA from 1 species